rnacentral:rRNA from 1 species
GACGAACGCUGGCAGCGUGCCUAAUACAUGCAAGUAGAACGCUGAAGGGAGGAGCUUGCUCUUCUUGGAUGAGUUGCGAACGGGUGAGUAACGCGUAGGUAACCUGCCUUGUAGCGGGGGAUAACUAUUGGAAACGAUAGCUAAUCCGCAUAACAAUGGAUGACCCAUGUCAUUUAUUUGAAAGGGGCAAAUGCUCCACUACAAGAUGGACCUGCGUUGUAUUAGCUAGUAGGUGAGGUAACGGCUCACCUAGGCGACGAUACAUAGCCGACCUGAGAGGGUGAUCGGCCACACUGGGACUGAGACACGGCCCAGACUCCUACGGGAGGCAGCAGUAGGGAAUCUUCGGCAAUGGGGGCAACCCUGACCGAGCAACGCCGCGUGAGUGAAGAAGGUUUUCGGAUCGUAAAGCUCUGUUGUAAGUCAAGAACGAGUGUGAGAGUGGAAAGUUCACACAGUGACGGUAGCUUACCAGAAAGG